rnacentral:rRNA from 1 species
AACGCUAGCUACAGGCUUAACACAUGCAAGUCGAGGGGCAGCGCGGGAGAAGCUUGCUUUUCCUGGCGGCGACCGGCGCACGGGUGCGUAACAGGUGUGCAAUCUGUCCUAUACCGGGGCAUAGCCCAGCGAAAGUUGGAUUAAGUCUCCAUGUGAGCGAGUGCCGCAUGACACACGCUUGAAACGUAAGGGUAUAGGGUGAGCACGCUUCUGAUUAGAUAGUUGGUGAGGUAACGGCUCACCAAGUCGACGAUCAGUAGGGGUUCUGAGAGGAAGGUCCCCCACAUUGGAACUGAGACACGGUCCAAACUCCUACGGGAGGCAGCAGUGAGGAAUAUUGGUCAAUGGGCGAGAGCCUGAACCAGCCAAGUAGCGU